CGGGAUGUAGCGUAGCCCGGUAUCGCGCAAGCAUGGGGUGCUUGAGGUCGUAGGUUCGAAUCCUGCCAUCCCGA
rnacentral:tRNA from 1 species